AUUUUAAUUCUCGUUUCUGGAGGGAUUUGAGUUCUGCGAUUGAUGUUCUAAAAUUUUAAGAAUUCAUCAACAAGGGGAGCUUUGCUAUUCCCACAGGGGUGUAUGACCAUCAUACAAUGGGUUUUGUAGAACCGAUAUACACGGAAGCAGGUUCGAAAUAAUCUGUGGUAAAGUGCACUACCGUAAAUAAACUAUAUUUAAUCAUGAGAGGCACACCCGCCCGAGAUUAAGACGGGAUAUUAAAUAGGUACUGGGGGAUAGGACGGUGAUCUUGUACAAAUACUGGGCGUGGGGAGAAAGCAAUGGAAUGCGCAAGAUUAACUGGAAUGGUCAUUUGAAUAGUGGCAGUAUUGAUCAUCGUUCCGAUUCAACUAAUACUACGGAAAAUAUCCAAAUGAGGAGGAGAGGGAACCAAAAUCUAGAGAUGAGAUAAAAGCCAUAUCUAUAGACAGGAAAGUUCCAUGCGAGAGGGAAGUCUAACAAUUAGUGGCGUGAGAUAACGAUUCUUUAAAAGUCCUAUGACACAACCGGAAAAUAAGAUAUUAACUAGGGAUUUACAAACCCUGGGCUUAUAGUUGUAUGGUAAGUCCUAAUAUCUGAUUCAAAAGUCAAAGCUAUUGAUAAGAUUUCCAUAAAAGAGGUUAACUUAGUCUAGAGUAGUGAGAUGGAGACAUUAACGUUGAAAGUUCCAAAAAUAAUAUCCUAUGGGUGAAAUGUGAUGUCCGAUCAAAAGUAUUCUAUGGACGUGGUUCACAGGAAGGAAAAUACAUACUGAUUAUUUUUAAAGGGACACACACAUAGUCAGACAGAAAAUUACUAAAAGUAACUAAGUAACGGUAAAUUACAAAUUUAUAGAAGUACACGCACAUAGAAUUUAAAUUAAAUAUAGAAAGGCAUAGAUACGUGAUUAAAUACCAUAGCUAAGUAACGGUAAGGAUUGUUUAGAAAUUCCUCAAAAGAAGUGUCGGAAACGAGCGGGAGAUUACCGUUAUAGGAGAACAAAGACAAUGAAUGGAAGGUGAUAUUACGAAUAGCCAGGAAGGGUUUUAAAUUAGGACGAUUUUCUGGGAAUUCCCGGUGUAGAAGUUUUGCGACUACGGACAAUUAUAAUAAUAAUAUAUUGAGAGGGGAGUCGUAUUGAAAAAAAAGGCAUUAAAAAUAUGGCGAGACAAUUGAGGUAAUACGCUAUUUUGCCCAUAAUGAUCUGGGGGAAUAAUGUAUUGAGAUGGGAGUCGUAUUUAAAUAAAUGGAUCAUAGAAGAGAAAGUCACCUAAAGUUAAAUGUAGGGAAUAACGGAGAGAUACGAUUCAAUUUUGUGCUAUCCGGACGUUAUAGCUAUUCAUGAAUCGACUGACAUAUGAUAAAUUUAGCACAAAACAUGGUACGUUUAAAUGUUAGAGUAUGGUAAAUUGAGAAGUUGGGUUGGUUUUACUUUGAUGAUUAGAAUUUAAAACUGAACGAAAUCUGAAUAGGGAAUAUAUAUUUUACAGAGGCAGGCAGAUGUGUGAUGACGUUUCACGUUGAACAACAACGUCCCUCAAAUUUAAACAGAGAAAGGGGGUUGUGGCAUUUAGAGGGAAAAUGCGUGCAUUAUAGCUUAGAGUUACUUUUCAAAAGCGGCCAAAAGUUCCAAAUAUACAUUUCUUUUAAGGAGAAGUAUCGUAAAGAUAGUCUGAAAAGAUUCUACAGCUUGCAGCGGAAGUGCUAGGCACUCAAUGGGCUAUAUGGUGCAACACUUUGGACUAUAAAAUAGAUUUUAUGCACUACAGGUGAACUACAGGUGAAGUCACUCAAUCCAUUCCCAGAGGCUUGUUGGGGGGACCAUACCAAGGACUCCUGGUGACAGCUAGCUGAAAGAGCUACCCGGAUUCAUAUCGCAUUGCGGGAGGGUAAGGCACAUUGACACUGGCAAACAGUAACAGAGGUCGAGAGGAAAACUGGAAUUAACAGAAUUCUGGGAGCCAUCUCUCGAAUGAAAAAUACCUUACCUGUCCUUUCCUCACUGUUGUUGUUCAUAGAAGUGAAGAUGUGUCUGGCUUUUGCUAAGCGAUGUGUUCUAGGGGAGAGGGUGGGGCUUCUCAUGGAAGCUGUUCAUCUGAGCUGUCUUAUCGUGGGUGACAUAUUCCUGAUACAGCACGUCCUACUCGAGUAUGCGGAGAGUGGUAAUUUGACCCAUGGUUUAGACGAUGAGGAGUUUGUUCCAAAAUAAAAGAGAUAUCGGUGCAGGUUCCCAUAUUGAUCGUGGACACAGGUCAUAGCUCAUUUGGAGAAAGAGGGCUAUAUGAAUCCACUCACCCAGUAUGGAAGAAGGUAGAGGAGAGUGAAGGUGUGUUUUUGAUUGUAAUCCGGAGAGGGAUGCAUUGCAUAAAGAUAAGCCUAACCCUCUAAACAGUAAUGAAGGAUAAUCUAGGGUUGUGGUAUGAUGGAGAUGACCAGGUCUUGGUCAACACCCUAGUACGGUUCUGGGUAGAGGAGUUUGGGUCGGUAUGGUAAAGCUGUUCAUUAAAGCAGGAAUGCCAGAUAAUGACAGUUGUAUUGAUUUGCACUAUUUAUAUCCCCAGUUUCCCCUUAAAUCAAGACUUCCUCCCUUUACAGUGACAAGAGGAGAAUAUUACUGUCUGGCCCGGUACGGUACACAUGGGAAAUACGUGGGGGAAGUUAGUACUUGCAGAGAAUAUUACAGAGAAUAUUACCACUGAGAAUAUUACCACUGACGAGACCAUGUCUGAUUUGACAGGCUGGUUGAACUCUGGGGAUUUCAAUAAGGUAAAGCGGGCCAGGGCUGACAUCUAGUGGUUGUGUGGGGGAACAAUUCUAUUAACCACAAAUUGGGUGGGGUCAUGUGCGUUGGGGAUGUCUUUUACACUCAUUCAGACACCAGGACAUGAAGUUAUCUAAACGGGAAAAGAUAAGCACUCCAUCUGGGUCAUUUGAUGACAAGUUAUACAUUGAUAACAUUGGGGUUCCAAGGGAGGUGCCAGAUGAGUCAAAGCAAGAAAUCAGAUCCUAGCAGGAUUAGAGUUAAGCAUUUCCGGGGCUCUACUCUCAUAAGAACGUGGACUCGAUUAAUUAUAUUUAUGAUAAUCAACAGCGCUUUAACAGGUAUACCAGUGAUGUUAUUAAAGGUUUUGUAGAACAGACUGAAGCAACCAGCUGGAAGGCUUGGCAGAAUAGAAUUGCAUUAGAUAUGUUAAUGGCUGAAAAGGGAGAAGUAUGCGUGAUAAUCAGGACCAUGUUUGUGCUUACAUCCCAAAUAACACAGCUCCGGACGAAUCAGUGCCCGAAGCCUCAGCUGGUUUGACCACCCUGGCUCACGGGUUGGCAGAAACUCUGGGGUGGAUACUUCUCUGAACUAAAUUGGGUUGACAGUGUGUAUGGAAAAAUGUUGUGUUAUGGGCUACCUUCAUCUGUGUGACUGUGUUAGUUUUGUACGGACGUGGUUGAUUGCGUGUAUGUAUGAAAGUUAUUAUUUCCAGGACUCUGGAGUAAUCUAUGACAAUAGAUGAUGCGGUGUGGGACGAUUCCAGGUUCUGACCCGUGGAGGACUGAAUGCCUGACUACAGGACAAGUGGACAAAUCUGGAUCUUUCAUCAUUGGGGAAUUUAUGUUUGAUGAGACUAGUGUUGAGGAUAGAAUUAGAUUGUACUGUUUCAAUAUUAGACUGUUUUUUAAUAAAGAUUGUAACAAAAAUCCUGUUAAGAAGAGUUAUAAUUCUGAUGUUGGUUUAAGGGUUAAAUUAAGGUUAAGGUUAGAUUUGAUUAAUGAUGGGUGAAGAGUCGGAUAAACAUAAUAAUGUUGGUUAAUAUUUUUAUUUUUAUGUUUGAAAAAAUUAGAUGUCUAUUUGAAUGUAUAAUAUUUGAUCAAAGGGAGGAUUGUUAGAGGAAAUUAUGGUUGAAAUUACUAAUUAUGUAUACAUUCCAAUCAGAACUGACUAGUCCAAAUGCUAUAAUGUACUGUACAUGUGAAUUUUCUCUCUUGCUCCCAUUCCCAAUUGUAUAUAAUGUAGUCAGGAGUUUAGUAACAAUGAAGGUCUGUUCCUUAGUUCAUACAUUUGUACAAUCUCCAGGUGGUAGGAACGGCCCAUCUCCAGGCUGUCUAGAAUGUUGAUUUAUACUGACUGGCCUUGACUUCGUGCUGAUAACGCGAAGGCUCGAGAGCUAGAGGGCCCCUCUACUUGUGAAAUAGAUAGAACGUUUAGAAAACGCUGACGUCCUUUUCAGUUUAUAACCUGUGGAAAUAUGUGUAUGUGGUUAGUACUCACUUGAAUUAAACGCUACUACCUGACUUUUAA